GUGAAUCAUCGAAUUUUUGAGCGCAAAUUGCACUCUCCUCGGAGAGUAUGCCUGUUUGAGGGUCAGCCUAUAAAAAAUCGACGUCGUCGCUGUUUCGCGGUGGCGUUCGUCGGAAAUUGGGUCAUCUUAAAUCCUUUUGAUUUAAGCGACUUAAAAUUUUCUUUUUUUUCCAUGAACAUUGCUAAUAUCAUUUUCUUUACACGUUUAAGUUAUCGAUUUUUACUAUACUUGACCAUGAUAUCGUAUCUCGUCCAGAAUCUUUCAUUAACGUCCCUUG
rnacentral:misc_RNA from 1 species